CGGUGGAGGAAGAGGGAACGAAGGGUGGAUGCGAGCAGCACGGUUCGGGCUGCGCUCCGCCGGAGUGCAAAAGGCAGAUGAAUAGACAUGGACUUGUAAACAGCGGCAUAACGUUUAUCUGCAUUGCAGCCGAAGUCUUGGCACGCCAGCAGUCUUUGUGUUAUUCUUGGAAAGUUUCGCACCACUUGUGAAUUCCUUGAACCUUGGCAUUGCAAGCCCACUUCUGUUGGGCCCUC